AAACGACUCUCGGCAACGGAUAUCCCGGCUCUCGCAUCGAUGAAGAACGUAGCGAAAUGCGAUACUUGGUGUGAAUUGCAGAAUCCCGUGAACCAUCGAGUUUUUGAACGCAAGUUGCGCCCGAUGCCAUUAGGCUGAGGGCACGUCUGCCUGGGUGUCACGUA
rnacentral:rRNA from 1 species